GACGCACGCUGGCGGCGUGCUUAACACAUGCAAGUCGAACGGUGAAGGAGAGCUUGCUCUCCGGAUCAGUGGCGAACGGGUGAGUAACACGUGGGCAACCUGCCCCAGACUUCGGGAUAACGCUUCGAAAGAGGUGCUAAUACCGGAUACGAACUCCUUGGGCAUCCUUGGAGUUGGAAAGUUUUUCGGUCUGGGAUGGGCCCGCGGCCUAUCAGCUUGUUGGUGAGGUAACGGCUCACCAAGGCGACGACGGGUAGCCGGCCUGAGAGGGCGACGGGCCACACUGGGACGGAGACACGGCCCAGAGGCCGACGGGAGGCAGCAGUGGGGAAUAUUGCGCAGUGGGCGAAAGCCUGACGCAGCAACGCCGCGUGGGGGAUGACGGCCUUCGGGUUGUAAACCUCUUUCAGCAGGGAAGAAGCGAAAGUGACGGUACCUGCAGAAGAAGCACCGGCUAACUACGUGCCAGCCGCCGCCGUAAGAC
rnacentral:rRNA from 1 species